GGCUCUAUGGGGGUCUAUGGGCCCUCAUUACUAUGCGCAAAGCCCUGCUCCCAUUGGCUGUUCUGAAGGCGCUGCUCAACGCCCUGCAGCUCAUAGAAGCCGCGAAGCGAUUGGCCGCCAUCGACAUACGGGAACGCAAGGGGCAUUAAGCCACGCCCCCUUCAUUAGGCCACGCCCCCUUCAUUAAGCCACGCCCCCUCCAUUAAGCCACGCCCCCACCCCAUUGGCCGCCAUUGACAUAAUGGAACCCAAUGGACCCAUAGGCCACGCCCCCUUCAUUAAGCCACGCCCCCUUCAUUAAGCCACGCCCCCCAUAGGCCACGCCCCCACCCCAUUGGCCGCCAUUGACAUAAUGGAACCCAAUGGACCCACAGGCCACGCCCCCUUCAUUAAGCCACGCCCACAUUAAGCCACGCCCCCUCCCCAUUGGCCGCCAUGGACAUAAUGGAACCCAAUGUACCCAUAGGCCACGCCCCCUUCGUUAAGCCACUCCCCCUUCGUUAAGCCACGCCCCCACCCCAUUGGCUGCCAUUGACAUAAUGGAACUCAAUGGACCCAUAGGCCACGCCCCCUCCAUGAAGCCCCGCCCCCUUUCUGCCCUGCCCUCUUCCCAUUGGCUGCAGCACUCCAUAAGCCCCGCCCACUUUCCUCUCGACCAAUCGCAGCCCGCCGGGACCAAUCAGGCCACGCCCACCGCCCCCGUGGCCACGCCCCCUAAUGAAUAAAGGUUGUGGAGGUCACGUGA